UAGUUAGAUAGAAAAUGUACAGAAAACUGUGGGUCUUCUGAAGACAACAGAGAUGGGAGAUCAUCUAUCUGCCAUACUUCUGCUUUGUCUGUCUAUCUCUUGAUAGCAAGUCAAUAAAAAUGAUUAGAGUUGGCACCUCACAGAAUCUACACCCUUAAACCAUGAAGCUAUAAUACUGUGGAGGCUUCCCCCCCCCCCCGCCCCGACCUUUUCAAAUUACAUUCAAGUAUCUGGGGAAUUUCUCAGCGACUAGAGGUAAUAAGGUUCAAUCCAUUUUGCUAGUUGGCUUCAAAUUCAGCUCCUCAGAAGCCUUAACUUAUCUAUUCUUUUUAUCUUGGCCUUGGCAUCUAUUCAUGGCUGUAAUCCAUGCAUCUAAUCUUGUGGGGUUUUUUUUCUUCUUCCCUUCUCAGGUUUUGCUGGCUGAUCACACUGUGAAAACUACAACUAUGAAAGGCCCUCCAUUUAUUGCGCUCUCUGCAAUUGUGCUAUUAGCAUGGGAGGCUAAACUGGAGGCUAAUAAUGAAGGAGUCAGUGAAGGAGGCCAGUGUCAUGAGGGUUAUCUCAUGGCCCCAGAUGCUGGAUAAGUUGAAGAAGGCAGAAUCUCUUUUGGAAGACAUUCAGGUCUGAAUGAUUAUUUGGCGAAGAAAAGACUAUUCUUCCCAAGGUUCUUCCCCUUCUGUGUGUCAAUGAGCUUUCAGCAGUACAUUUCUGAGACAAAAGAUCCACUCUGGUCCCAGCCACACCUAAAGGAAAGCUUUGAAGGAAUUGCCAUGUUCACUUUUAAUAAUGAGAGAAAAAUUACCCACAUGGAGUCACCAGAAAAUGAAAAAGUAGCAUGCCUACUGCGAAUAAUUCCAGCAAGUGCCAAGGGGCUAGUUGAGAAAUGGCUUCGUGAGGUGAAUAUCUUUAGCUGUUACUUGGGGUUUUGUAACUAUACAAUCAUUUUCUCUUUUAGGAGCCAUGAAUUUAAACAUGUUUAAGUAUAAGCAUAUUUUCUAGGCUAAAUGGCUGUCAGAACUCUGUCACAAUGUUGAAAGGCCAGAUAUCAUCCUUAUUACUGUUAUUUAUGGUAACUAAUUCAAUUUAUGCAAAUAUGCACAAAUAGCCACCAAAAGGCUCCCAGGGUGGGAGACUUAAUAAAUGUGUGUGUCUGAAAGCAUCUA